rnacentral:rRNA from 1 species
GACGAACGCUGGCGGCGUGCUUAACACAUGCAAGUCGAACGGAAAGGCCCUGCUUUUGUGGGGUGCUCGAGUGGCGAACGGGUGAGUAACACGUGAGUAACCUGCCCUUGACUUUGGGAUAACUUCAGGAAACUGGGGCUAAUACCGGAUAGGAGCUCCUGCUGCAUGGUGGGGGUUGGAAAGUUUCGGCGGUUGGGGAUAGACUCGCGGCUUAUCAGCUUGUUGGUGGGGUAGUGGCUUACCAAGGCUUUGACGGGUAGCCGGCCUGAGAGGGUGACCGGCGUCAUUGGGACUGAGGUACGGCGCAGUAUGCAACGGGAGGCAGCAGUGGAGAAUAUUGCACAGUAGGCGGAAGCCUGAUGCAGCAACGCCGCGUGCGUGAUGACGGCCUUCGGGUUGUAAACCGCUUUGGCCUGUGACGAAGCGUGAGUGACGGUAAUGGGUAAAGAAGCACCGGCUAACUACGUG